rnacentral:rRNA from 1 species
UACAGAGGUCUCAAGCGUUGUUCGGAUUCAUUGGGCGUAAAGCGCGUGUAGGCGGCCCGGUAAGUCCGCUGUGAAAGUCCAGGGCUCAACCCUGGGAUGCCGGUGGAUACUGUCGGGCUCGAGUCCGGAAGAGGCGAGUGGAAUUCCUGGUGUAGCGGUGAAAUGCGCAGAUAUCAGGAGGAACACCGAUGGCGAAGGCAGCUCGCUGGGACGUGACUGACGCUGAGACGCGAAAGCGUGGGGAGCAAACAGG